ACCUAAACCCGAUAGCAGCGGAAAGCCCGGACGCAGGAGGGCUUGCAGCGCAUAGCGGGACUAUCG
rnacentral:sRNA from 1 species